rnacentral:rRNA from 1 species
UACGUAGGGAGCAAGCGUUUGUCCGGAAUCAUUGGGCGUAAAGCGCGCGUAGGCGGCCUCAUAAGUCCGUUGUGAAAGUCAAAGGCUCAACCUUUGAAAGCCGAUGGAUACUGUGAGGCUAGAGUUCGGAAGAGGCGAGUGGAAUUCCUGGUGUAGCGGUGGAAUGCGCAGAUAUCAGGAGGAACACCAAUAGCGAAGGCAGCUCGCUGGGACGAUACUGACGCUAAGGCGCGAAAGCGUGGGGAGCGAACAGG